rnacentral:rRNA from 1 species
GACGAACGCUGGCGGCGUGCCUAAUACAUGCAAGUUGAGCGCUGAAGGUUGGUACUUGUACCAACUGGAUGAGCAGCAAACGGGUGAGUAACGCGUGGGGAAUCUGCCUUUGAGCGGGGGACAACAUUUGGAAACGAAUGCUAAUACCGCAUAAAAACUUUAAACACAAGUUUUAAGUUUGAAAGAUGCAAUUGCAUCACUCAAAGAUGAUCCCGCGUUGUAUUAGCUAGUUGGUGAGGUAAAGGCUCACCAAGGCGAUGAUACAUAGCCGACCUGAGAGGGUGAUCGGCCACAUUGGGACUGGGACACGGCCCAAACUCCUACGGGAGGCAGCAGUAGGGAAUCUUCGGCAAUGGACGAAAGUCUGACCGAGCAACGCCGCGUGAGUGAAGAAGGUUUUCGGAUCGUAAAACUCUGUUGUUAGAGAAGAACGUUGGUGGGAGUGGAAAGCUCAUCAAGUGACGGUAACUACCCAGAAAGGGACGGCUAACUACGUG